CUUUCCCUACGGGAGGCAGCAGCAGUGGGGGACAUUGCACAAUGGGGGGAACCCUGAUGCAGCGACGCCGCGUGGGUGAAGGAGCGUUUCGGCGCGUAAAGCCCUAUCGGCAGGGAAGAAGAUGACGGUACCUGACCAAGAAGCCCCGGCUAACUACGUGCCAGCAGCCGCGGUAAUACGUAGGGGGCAAGCGUUAUCCGGAUUUACUGGGUGUAAAGGGGGCGCAGACGGCAAUGCAAGCCAGGAGUGAAAGCCCGGGGCCCAACCCCGGGACUGCUCUUGGAACUGCAUGGCUGGAGGACAGG
rnacentral:rRNA from 1 species